GCCCCUGUGGCGGAAUUGGUAGACGCGGCAGACUCAAAAUCUGUUGUCCGCAAGGACGUGGGAGUUCGAGUCUCCCCGGGGGCACCA
rnacentral:tRNA from 1 species